GAGUUUGAUCCUGGCUCAGGAUGAACGCUGGCGGCGUGCUUAACACAUGCAAGUCGAACGGAGGAUGUACGGUGAAGAGAUUUCGGUCAAAUCAUGUGCAUCUUUAGUGGCGGACGGGUGAGUAACGCGUGGGUAACCUGCCUUAUACAGGGGGAUAACACUUAGAAAUAGGUGCUAAUACCGCAUAAGCGCACGGGGCUGCAUGGCCCAGUGUGAAAAACUCCGGUGGUAUAAGAUGGACCCGCGUCUGAUUAGCUUGUUGGUGAGGUAACGGCCCACCAAGGCGACGAUCAGUAGCCGGCCUGAGAGGGUGGACGGCCACAUUGGGACUGAGACACGGCCCAAACUCCUACGGGAGGCAGCAGUGGGGGAUAUUGGACAAUGGGGGGAACCCUGAUCCAGCGACGCCGCGUGAGUGAAGAAGUAUCUCGGUAUGUAAAGCUCUAUCAGCAGGGAAGAAGAAAUGACGGUACCUGAGUAAGAAGCCCCGGCUAACUACGUGCCAGCAGCCGCGGUAAUACGUAGGGGGCAAGCGUUAUCCGGAAUUACUGGGUGUAAAGGGAGCGUANACGGUGAUGUAAGUCUGGAGUGAAAGGCGGGGGCCCAACCCCCGGACUGCUCNGGANNCUANGUGACUGGAGUGCAGGAAAAGUGAGCCGGAUUCCUAAUGUAACGGUGAAAUG
rnacentral:rRNA from 1 species